ensembl:lncRNA
UUUUGUUAUAUUUCUUAUGUAAAGUAGUAUUUAUUUAUUGUUACACCAGGUUCUAUUGAUCGUAGCUUGACUAUUCUCUCCCUUGUACGUCGCUUUUGGACAAAAUCCACAUGGAGUGAAAAUGACUAAAUGUAAAUGUAACAGUGGAGCGCUAAGCAGUCCAGGCCCCAGAGUGCAACGGGAGCUGGCCGUAGGUCAUCCUGCUGUGGGCUGAGGACGGCACCUCUAUCCUGGCAAACAGCGGUUGCAACAGUGCUCUUCUUGGGAGACAACAGCAACAGUGUUCAUGACAAAUAAUUGUCACAUGCUGAGCACAACAAGUGUUGUUUGGAAGAUCUCUGUUGAUGCAUCUCUCUGAGUGAUACAUCAGUGAGAGUAACCUUCAGCUUGGUUCAGAUCACAUCUGACCACAGAAGGCCACUGGGCAAUUUCACAUUUACAUUUAGUCAUUAUUCAAAGCGACUUACAAGGAUGUAUACACAUUUUUUACAUUUACACUGAUGGCACACUGCACAUCAGGAGUAAUUAGGGGUUCAGUGUCUUGCUCAAGGACGCUUCGACAGGGAAUUGAACUAGCAACCUUCUGAUUACUAAACGACUUCUCUACCUCUGUCGCCCCUAUUUCACUCCAGCACGACCUUCUCUGGUGACCCUACAGAACCACCAGCAGUUCGUCUGAUUGGCCAGUCUAUGUAGGAAAUCAUCACAAAACUGAGUAUGAAUGUCAUUUUUUUUUUUUAUGUUUACCAGUAGAAUCUGAACCGAUUUGAUCUCUAGGGAAUAAUGCAUUAUAGAGGUGAUGGAAAUUGAUAUUACCAUUAAUUUAUAUACUUACAUUGCAUUUUUUUUAUGUUUACCAGUAGAAUCUGAACCGAUUUGAUCUCUAGGGAAUAAUGCAUUAUAGAGGUUUUAACAGAUGAAGCACAGCACGUAUUAGUGAGAUAGGUAUCAAUGAUAUUAGUGAAAUAGAUAGCAAGCACUGUCUUCAUAAAAUGGAUUUACAGAUGGAGAGAACAGCACAAUGUAGUGUUAGAUAGAUAGAUGGAUACUUUAUUAAUCCCGAAGGAAAUUUAGGAAAUUGUGAAUUUAGUGUUACAACUUACAAGCUUACUUAUUGGAGGUAAGUCUGUCGAUGGAAGGCGUUAGUCUUCCUCUGUAGGCCUGGGUAAGGAGGUCUUCUGUAAGGGGACCACGUGCUAGGAGACAUGCAGCUGAAGGCUCAGUUCUCCAGAUGUCUUUGAAAGUGACAGUGGUCUGGAGCAGAUCGCCUGAAGCAAGAGUCAGACUGUGUCAGGCUGAGUCAGACUGUCAGCUGGGUAACACAGAGAGGGGAGGGCUGCAGGAAGCGGGGCAAACUCACGGAAUGUGAAGUUGUGUCAGAGAGGAUGCAAGAGCAGUUGGACAUUCUGCACAUCCUUCAAGCAAUUU